rnacentral:sRNA from 1 species
UCCUAGCCCCUAUAGCAACGAUAUCCCUUUAUGCCGGUUUCGAAGCUUUGGGAGGCAUAAAAGAUAUAGCGGAUAGCGGGAAAUAGC